GCAGAAAAAAACAAAAAUUUUUGCCAAAUGCUUCUGUUUUCGAACCAAAUUGUUUAUGAGCAAAAUUGUUCAUGAGCUGAGGUACCACUGUAUCUUUUACUGUAAUAAAAAAUUUUUAAAUGUAAGCAUUAUCACCAUAUUUUUCAAUCAUACUCAUAUAAGGAUUUAUUUUUGAACUCUCAGUUCAGUUUCAUUCAUUCUACUUGGUACCCACACCACACUAUGCCUAUAUCUUAUGGUAAGUUUUGGAACUGGGUAGAGAAAGUCUUUACGCUUUCUUUUUCCUAACACCAUCUUCCAAUAGCUUCGCAUUUCCACAUGACUUCUAGGAUCUGUGCACCAGUCUGUUCUGGGAGCCUGCGUGGGGACAUAGUUCUGUUGGAUGUGGGACUGUCAUUGUGUUGGCCCUGGACUGUGUGGUUACAACUGUGAACUUCUCAGCUGAUGGCGAGGCCUGCAGCUUCUCAGCAGUGCUGUGGCGAGCCCAUCUGUACUUUGCUUUAUGACGUCAGGCCACACCUGAGCUCCUGGUGUCACGAGCGGUCUGUGCUGUGGUGUGGGAUGACGCGAGAAAUGGGCCAGCAGUCUCAUCCUCCAUUGUGACAAUACUCCUUGUCACACAUGGUUUCUGGCACAGGAAUUCCUGCCAAAUAAAACAUUUCAGUGUUUGUGUCUUUCAUUGCCUCAUCCCUGGCAGUAAUGCACCCCCAGGCUUUAGAUCGGAGCCCUGCCAACCUGACUGCUGCAGCCUGUGCCUACUUGGCCUUGCGAUGGUCACAUCUAGGGGUGUGCCUGUGGCGUGGUGAUGCCUGUCCCAACACCAGGAGGAAGACAGGCAAGCCUGCUGUCAGCAUCUCCUGCCCGCUCUGCCCCAGGAGCAGCCCUGCCCACUCACACUUCCCACAGCAACUGGGGAAGUGCCGGCCACCUGGGGUCACUGUCUUCCAGCUGUUGAGCCAGGAAGGAGUUGGCAGGGGCAAGAGACUUUCUGGGUGGGGCAGGAGAGGCCUCAGGGUCGGCCGGUCUGCCAAGGCUGAUGGGGGACACUGGCCCUGUACUUAGUGUGUGCACAGCCCCAGUGACUGUGCACUGACAACUCUGUUUCUCAGAUGGGGAAACUGAGGCUUGAGAGUGACUUGUCAGGGCGAGUAAGCAACACAGUUUCAAUUUGAACACAGCUUCCUGGCCACAGAGCCUGUUAACAAACUCCUGGCCCCUUUGCACUGAGCUCCAAAAGCCCGUGGGUCCUGUCUCUCCUGCACCUUUUCUCUACCUUCUCAGACCCAGUUUCAGACUCACAGGACGUUUAUCUGAAGCUGUUUGCAGGAUAAGGUCCAAGGGCCAGGGAGGCGUUGGACCCCUCUGAGCCUUUCUGGGUUUGCAUUCCAGCACCCUGGGGAGAGGCCUGGCGCCACAAGUCCCCGAUUUGGUCUGCUGGAGAGUGACCAUGGGUCCACUGAGCCACAGUGCACUGGGCAUGCUGCUGUCCAGCACCUGUCAGCCCUUCCCUGUUCUCCAGCUUGCCAUCAGGGCUUCAUCACAGCCUCUGGCCCAGAGCCCUGGACUCUGUAGGGUAUGCUGGUGGGCUGAGAACUGGGCCUUCAGCGGACAGAAACCAGCAGGUGGCUUCUGCACCCAGUGUGAAGAUCUCUAGAUUUUUCUAGAGAAGCUGCAAGUGUAGAUUUUUUUUGUGGGGGGA
ensembl:lincRNA